UACGUAGGGUGCUAGCGUUGUUCGGAAUCAUUGGGCGUAAAGCGCGUGUAGGCGGUUAGUUAAGUCCUGUGUGAAAUCCCUGGGCUCAACCGAGGAAGUGCAUGGGAAACUAACUAGCUAGCAGAUGGUAGAGGAAGGUGGAAUUCCAAGUGUAGAGGUGAAAUUCGUAGAUAUUUGGAGGAGUACCGGUGGCGAAGGCGGGUUGCUGGGCUGACACUGACGCUGAUUGUGCGAAAGCUAGGGGAGCGAACGGG
rnacentral:rRNA from 1 species